rnacentral:tRNA from 1 species
GGAGUAGUGGCUCAGUGGUAGAGUGCACGCCUGGCAUGCAUGAGGCACUGAGUUCGAUCCUCGGCACCA